rfam:Ovis aries breed Texel chromosome 3, whole genome shotgun sequence.
UCCCUGGUGGUCCAGUGGUUAGGAUUUUGUGCUUUUACUGCUAUAGCCUGGGUUCAAUCCCUGGUAGGGGAA